GCUACGGGAGGCAGCAGUGGGGAAUAUUGGGCAAUGGGCGCAAGCCUGACCCAGCAACGCCGCGUGAAGGAAGAAGGCUUUCGGGUUGUAAACUUCUUUUCUCAGGGACGAAGCAAGUGACGGUACCUGAGGAAUAAGCCACGGCUAACUACGGGCCAGCAGCCGCGGGAAGACGUAGGUGGCAAGCGUUAUCCGGAUUUACUGGGUGUAAAGGGCGAGUAGGCGGGGCUGCCAGUCAGAUGGGAAAACCACGGGCUCAACCUGUGGCCUGCAUUUCAAACUGUAGGUCUUGAGUACUGGAGAGGCAGCCGGAAUUCCUAGUGUAGCGGUGCAAUGCGUAGAUAUUAGGAGGAACACCAGUGGCGAAGGCGGUCUGCUGGACAGCAACUGACGCUGAGGCGCG
rnacentral:rRNA from 1 species